UCUGGCUUUUUGUGGUGUUCACCA
rnacentral:siRNA from 1 species